ACUGGCCAACCACCAGGAGUGGGCUUGGGAACAGAGUCUGUAUUCCUAGACGGGAUCGCCACAUUUUUGCUUUCUGUUUCUAUUGAGGCCGGAAACCACGUCACAGGCAGCGGCUUUCUCUCUUUUCCUCCGGCGUGGCUGGCGAUGUUGUGUCGAUUUCAGCCAGGUUUUGCAGGGAGGACUCGGGCGCGUUGGUGGGAGAUUUCUGCCCCUCCAGAGAGGAGAGAAACAGCAAGGGAGGGGGAAUGUCUUUUUUUCUGGAAAACAGCCAGAAAAGCAAAUAGUUUUCCAUAGUGCUGUGCUGUUUCUGUGACGUGACCCAUGGAGGACCAAAACCCCACAAUUCCCCCCUUACAGAAAUGGUCAGAAGGGCCCCCUGACGUCCUUCAGGCACUGACUGCACGUCACUGUAAAUGGUCGUUAAUGGUUGUUAUGUGUGGCACACGACUAUGAUGACCUCAUUAUGAUGGCUGCCAUCUCAAGAAGGACAAAACUUGAUAUCUGUUGUCCUGUUUUUAUUGGUUUCCAACUCGGGGAAAGAUUUGGAUGGAUCCAUUUCAUCGAGAGGAGUUCAGAAUUUCCCCGUGAAGCCGCAGAUGUCCACAAAGGCUCAGAAGUGGGAAACAACGGUGGCCAGCACAAAACCCUUGCUGGAUGUCUGUCUGGGAUACUGCCAGGGUUUGGCCCAGGCGUGGAGGUUCCCAUGAUAAUGCCUGCUUCAGAAUGAGGCCCCUCUGGGCAAGAGAAGACCCAAUGGCAGAUUGGA